rnacentral:tRNA from 1 species
AGGGACUUAGGAUAAUAUUAGACCAAAAGCCUUCAAAGCUUUAAGUAGAGGUGAAAAUCUUCUAGUCCCUG